GCCCCCGUAGCUCAGGUGGAUAGAGCAGCGGCCUUCUAAGCCGACGGUCGGGGGUUCGAAUCCUCCCGGGGGCGCCA
rnacentral:tRNA from 1 species